rnacentral:rRNA from 1 species
AGUGGCGGACGGGUGAGUAACGCGUGAUAAUCUGCCUUCAGGUCGGGGACAACAGAGGGAAACUUCUGCUAAUCCCGGAUGAGCCUUAGGGUAAAAAAUUUAUUGCCUGGAGAUGAGCUCGCGUCUGAUUAGCUAGUUGGUAAGGUAAAAGCUUACCAAGGCAACGAUCAGUAGCUGGUCUGAGAGGAUGAGCAGCCACACUGGGACUGAGACACGGCCCAGACUCCUACGGGAGGCAGCAGUGGGGAAUUUUCCGCAAUGGGCGAAAGCCUGACGGAGCAAGACCGCGUGGGGGAGGAAGGCUCUAGGGUUGUAAACCCCUUUUCUUUGGGAAGAACAAAAUGACGGUACCAAAGGAAUCAGCCUCGGCUAACUCCGUGCCAGCAGCCGCGGUAAUACGGAGGAGGCAAGCGUUAUCCGGAAUGAUUGGGCGUAAAGCGUCCGCAGGUGGCAAUGUAAGUCUGCUGUCAAAACCCAGGGCUCAACUCUGGUCAGGCAGUGGAAACUACAUAGCUAGAGUUCGGUAGGGGCAAAGGGAAUUCCCGGUGUAGCGGUGAAAUGCGUAGAGAUCGGGAAGAACAUCGGUGGCGAAAGCGCUUUGCUAGACCGAAACUGACACUCAGGGACGAAAGCUAGGGGAGCGAAUGGGAUUAGAUACCCC